AAGAUGGCGGCCUCCCAGUCUCCAGCCCGAAGGAGCCGAGAGCUCGAGGCCCCACUCCUCAGUGCGCCCUCAGAGAACAGCGCCCAUUUACUCCUGUCUGCCUGACCUCCGGCCGUGCUCUGAGCUGACCGAGCCUGCGACCAGUUCAAGAUAUUUGUGGAGAGAGAGAAAGA